rnacentral:rRNA from 1 species
GAUGAACGCUGGCGGCGUGCCUAAUACAUGCAAGUCGAGCGAACAGACGAGGAGCUUGCUCCUCUGACGUUAGCGGCGGACGGGUGAUUAACACGUGGAUAACCUACCUAUAAGACUGGGAUAACUUCGGGAAACCGGAGCUAAUACCGGAUAAUAUAUUGAACCGCAUGGUUCAAUCGUCAAAGACGGUUUUGCUGUCACUUAUCGAUGGAUCCGCGCCGCAUUAGCUAGUUGGUAAGGUAACGGCUUGCCAAGGCAACGAUGCGUAGCCGACCUGAGAGGGUGAUAGGCCACACUGGAACUGAGACAAGGUCCAGACUACUACGGGAGGCAGCAGUAGGGAAUCUUCCGCAAUGGGCGAAAGCCUGACGGAGCAACGCCGCGUGAGUGAGGAAGGUCUUCGGAUCGUAAAACUCUGUUAUUAGGGAAGAACAAAUGUGUAAGUAACUAUGCACGUCUUGACGGUACCUAAUCAGAAAGCCACGGCUAACUACGUG